rnacentral:lncRNA from 1 species
GGCCAGCCGGCGCUGACCGUCCACUUGCAGAGCACUCCCUCUGGACAGAAGCCGAGAGGGCUGAGCUCCGAUGGACCGCUGCAGGCGGACGCUCUCCCCGGCGGCGCCGAUCAAAGCCGCAUCCGCUCGCCUGGCCUGAGUGAGCGAGCGCUUUUCCACACCCCGCACCAGAAGGGGGUCUGAGACCAGCACCGUGCUAUGCUCAGGAGGCUGCGUGCUUCUGGCCCUCAGCGCCCUGCUGGCGGUCGUCUCUGUCUUCCUCCCCAGUGGGCUCUUGGAGAGGCGAGUCUGUGCCCUGGCCGGAUACAUGCAGAUGGCAGCAGGAGCACCAAGGGCAGGUGGAGUCCGAGCCCCCACCAGUGGUCUCAGCAGCGAGAGGAACCUUACGUAGCAACACCCUGUGGAAGCCAGAAUGGAUUUGAAGGGAGGUAAGCUGAGGUUGGAAGACCAUUGAACUGACCAGAUGAAGGGAAAGGGUCCGGUGGCAGAACUGACAACUCUGAGAGGGCUGAGUAGGGUAAAGGUUCUCGGGAGACACCCGGGGCCUACUUUGGGG